UCAGACGAUGCGUCAUGCAUAUCAAUAAGCGGAGGAAAAGAAACUAACAAGGAUUCCCUCAGUAACGGCGAGUGAAGCGGGAAGAGCUCAAAUUUGAAAUCUUGAAAGGUCACCUUUCACGAAUUGUAGUUUAAAGAAGUGUUUUCUGUUACGAUCGUAAUAUAAGUUCUUUGGAGAUAGGACAUCACAGAGGGUGAGAAUCCCGUCUAUGAUUGCGAUUUGUAGCUUUGUGAUACACUUUCAAAGAGUCGGGAUUGUUUGGGAAUGCAGUCCCAAAAUGGGAUGGUAAAUUUCAUCUAAGGCUACAUAUUGGCGAGAGACCGAUAGCGAACAAGUACCGUGAGGGAAAGAUGAAAAGAACUUUGAAAAGAGAGUUAAAUAGUACGUGAAAUUGUCAAAAGGGAAGCGUUUAACACCAGUGUUGUUUUCUGAAAAUCAACCUCUGUUAGCUUUAUGCAUGUUUGUUUAGACCUAAUCAGCUAUCUUGCAUGUUCUAUUGUUUGCAGUGGUGCACUUUUCAGUUUACAGGUCAACAUCAGUUUUUUUUACCGUAAAAAAGUUAAAGAAAGGUAGCUCAUGGCUCCGGUCGUGAGUGUUAUAGUCUUUUUCCUAUGCGGUAGGAGAGACUGAGGUCUGCAGUGUAGGCUAUUUGGCUAGAUACUCAGGUGCUAUGUGAUACCAUUUCAUAAACAACUUGUCGAUUAUGUUUUGUCUAUUGCAUACUCGCUUGUACUAUCAUACCUACGCUUAGGAUGUUGACUGAUAUGUAGUCGUA
rnacentral:rRNA from 1 species